rnacentral:misc_RNA from 1 species
ACAAACUUGGUCAUUUAGAGGAAGUAAAAGUCGUAACAAGGUUUCCGUAGGUGAACCUGCGGAAGGAUCAUUACCGAUUUAGCGAACCUGGCUAUGUUGCCAUGGUUUCGCGAAAAUUUUGUAUUUAAAACCCCACUCUUCAAUUUAUUUGUUUACAUUAUGAAUCAUGUAAUAAUUAAAGAUCACUUUCAACAACGGAUCUCUUGGCUCUCUUAGAGGAAGUAAAAGUCGUAACAAGGUUUCCGUAGGUGAACCUGCGGAAGGAUCAUUACCGAUUUAGCGAACCUGGCUAUGUUGCCAUGGUUUCGCGAAAAUUUUGUAUUUAAAACCCCACUCUUCAAUUUAUUUGUUUACAUUAUGAAUCAUGUAAUAAUUAAAGAUCACUUUCAACAACGGAUCUCUUGGCUCUCGCAUCGAUGAAGAACGCAGC